rnacentral:misc_RNA from 1 species
GAAAUGCGAUACUUGGUGUGAAUUGCAGAAUCCCGUGAACCAUCGAGUCUUUGAACGCAAGUUGCGCCCGAAGCCAUUAGGCCGAGGGCACGCCUGCCUGGGUGUCACACGCCUCGUGGUUGGUUGAAAUCUGGGUUCAUGGCCGACUUCGCCGUGAUAAAAUGGUGGAUGAGCCACGCUCGAGACCAAUCACGUGCGAGCCGGUCAGUUCUGGACCCAUCGACGACCCUUUGCGUGCACGCACGCUCCCAACGAGACCUCAGGUCAGGCGGGGCUACCCGCUGAGUUUAA